CAGAAAUAGUCGCGACUUUUCGCGAUUGUUUGUUUUGAGAAAACUGGGGGUUGGGAUCAGCAUCACGCUAGCAAGCCACCCUUGAAGCGAAAGGAGCCCGAAGCGAACUUUGAAUCAAGUCACCAGAUUUAAUUAUGUCGUCGACCUUUUAAACCGUAUCUCUCUGGAUAGAUCCUGCAUUGUGUACGGAGUAUGCUCUGUUGCAUGUCUCUUUCACGACUCAAUCACUUGCAAGUUACCAGAAGGAAGUGUCUUUCCACAAACAGAGCUGCUUCUUCAUCAACUUAACGGCACGAAAUACCUAUGUACCUCCAGACAAAUUUCGGGUGGACGGCUAUUGUGAAACCCCUUGGAAUCAGAUACAUGUGCUUUUACUUCGUUCUUUGUGCAUAUCUUCCGGAGUACAGAGGUAGAUAGAUAAGGAACCGUUUCAGAUCUGUAUGGGAAUUUAGCCCAGACUGGACGUCUGUUCUUCAACAAAUCCAGGUUAAGCUGAGGGCCGAGACAGGCAUGGGAGGAUAUCCAUGGAUGCAACCUGGGGUGGUGACAUUUACGGCGAAGAGUUACUUCCUGCAUGUGAGAAUCAGCUUGUUUGUGGAG
rnacentral:sRNA from 1 species